rnacentral:miRNA from 1 species
GGUCUCACUAUGUAAUUGAGACUGACCUGGAAUUCACUGUGUAGCCCAGGCUGGUCUCAAAUUCAUAGCAAUUCCCCUGCCUGAGCCUCCUGAGUGCUGGGAUUAUAGGCAUGCACUACCA